AAUGAACGCUGGCGGCGUGCCUAACACAUGCAAGUCGGAUGUGCCCGCAAGGGUGCAUGGCAGACGGGUGAGUAACGCGUGGGGAAUCUACCUUUUAGUGGGGAAUAACGCUCCGAAAGGAGUGGUAAUACCGCAUGUGACCAUUGGCUGGGAUGCUGAUGGUGAAACCCUGGGACCUUCGGGCCAGGGGCUAGAAGAGGAUCCUGCGUCUGAUUAGCUAGUUGGCGGGGUAACGGCCCACCAAGGCGACGAUCAGUAGCCGGCCUGAGAGGGUGAUCGGCCACACUGGAACUGAGACACGGUCCAGACUCCUACGGGAGGCAGCAGUGGGGAAUUUUGCGCAAUGGACGAAAGUCUGACGCAGCAACGCCGCGUGGGUGAUGAAGGUCUUCGGGUUGUAAAGCUCUUUCAGACGGAAAGAAAUCGCAUCUUCUAAUACAGGGUGUGGAUGACGGUACCGUAAGAAGAAGCACCGGCUAACUACGUGCCAGC
rnacentral:rRNA from 1 species